rnacentral:tRNA from 1 species
UUAAAAAUAAAUUCAAAGUUUGAAGUUUCUAUUACAAAGAAAUUUAGUCUAAGGACUAUUUUUAUUUUUAAA